rnacentral:rRNA from 1 species
AGCUCCAAUAGCGUAUAUUAAAGUUGUUGCAGUUAAAAAGCUCGUAGUUGGAUUUCUGGUGGGAGUGACCGGUUCGUCCCUUGUGGAUGUGUACUAGUUGUCGUCUCUUGCCAUCCUUGGGGAGAGCGGGCCUGGCAUUAGGUUGUCGGGUUCGGGAUCCCCAUCCUUUACUGUGAAAAAAUUAGAGUGUUUAAAGCAGGCUUAUGCCGUUGAAUACAUUAGCAUGGAAUAAUAAGAUAGGACUUUGGUGGUCUAUUUUGUUGGUUUGCACGCCAAGGUAAUGAUUAAUAGGGAUGGUUGGGGGUAUCCGUAUUUCGUAGUCAGAGGUGAAAUUCUUGGAUUUACGAAAGACGAACUACUGCGAAAGCAUUUACCAAGGAUGUUUUCA